rnacentral:misc_RNA from 1 species
CGCAAGCUAGCAGAUUUUUUCGGUUUGCUGCUCUUGCCAGUUACGUGUUUCUAGUCAGCUGAACUUUUUGCCUUUCCUUGUGUACAUAAACUGCCGCAAACAUGUGUGGGGGGUUUACGUGCUCCAAGAAUGCUCUCACAGCGCUCAACAUCAUGUAUAUUAUCGUGUCGUUCAUUCUUAUCGGAGUUGCGGCGUACGGCCGCGUGUCGAGCAUCGUCACCAACAUCACCAUCUUCGGGGCAGUGAUCGCCUGCGGAGUGUUCCUGUUGCUCCUAUCGCUCGUCGGCCUCAUCGGGGCCGUGAAGCACCACCAAGUGCUCCUCUUCUUCUACAUGGUGAUCCUGUUCCUGCUGUUUGUGGUCCAGUUCAGCGUGGCCUGUGCCUGCCUGGCCAUGACGGAGGACCAGGAGCGGGAGCUGGCUCGCCAGGGCUGGGAGAAGGCCCCCGCCUCGGCCAAGGGUCAGGCGGAGCGCCUUUUCCGCUGCUGCGGCUUCGAGGACAACGUUACCGACCCCGAGCCCUGCCAGGGGGUCCCCACCUGCUGCGACCCGUCGCAAGAGCUGUCGACCGGGGCAUUGGACGAGUGCAAGUGUAGAGGCUGCUGGUCUGCUUUGCACCAGGCAAUCCGCAACGGGCUCAAGAUCACAGGGGGCAUCGGCAUGUUCUUCAGUUUUACAGAGUUCAUCGGCGUGUGGCUGACUGUGCGUUACCGCAAUCAGAAGGACCCUCGUGCUAACCCUAGCGCCUUUCUGUAACCGACACUAACCUCUUACUAACCUGGCUUGUAAGGGAAACUCUUUCUCAAGAGGCACUUUGUCAGCAAAAGCUUGUAGCCGUGUUCAUAGCGUACCGUUACCGGCGUCAGAGGAACCCCAAGGCGGACCCCUACCUGCUUCUAGGGCUGCACGGGGG